GGACAGGUGGUGCAGUGGUAGCACGUUUCGACUCCGUCGAAAAAACCCGAGUUCGACUCUUGGUCUGUUCA